GGGAGCAUAGCUCAGUUGGUAGAGCGGCUGGCUGUUAACCAGCAUGUCCUAGGUUCGAGCCCUAGUGUUCCCG
rnacentral:tRNA from 1 species